GUGUUGUUCCGUCUUCUGACCUUUUCCAGCGUCGUGAAGCUCCUGCUUCAGCCUUGCAACCUGCACAUCAAAUUAUUUGAAUUAAGUACUGAAGAUACGUGAUGUGCGCACUGAAGCCAAAGAAAUAAUCUCAAGUCAAACAUGCCAACUCUCUUUUGCUUUUCAACUACCUUACAAAACACAGCUGUGUGGGGACUUAUGCAGAGCAUUGAACAGCUCAGUGCCGGCUCUUCCGGAAUUUACUAUGCUGCAAAAAAGUUGUCAGUGCAAUAUUUGAGAGACAUCAUACCACAAAGAAGAGAAGAGCAAUGGAAGUUAUACGUAGUCACGGAAUAGGGAGUUUUUAAUUGAUUUGAUUUAUAAACCCUAUUUUGGUUGUUAUUGUGUUAUUUCAUUGUUAGUUUGUUGGAAUUCUUUCAUUAGAUAGGGGUUCAUGAUUUCCGUUUGCUCCUAAUUGAAUAACUUUAUGAAGAUGAAUUUUGCAUCCUACAACAUGCAUUGCAUCAUCAAUUUAUAUUAGCAUUUACAUUUAGCAAUAGAUUAAGGCUUAUUGUGUGGUUUCUUGCUAUCUUUAAUCUUUACAUUUUAAAAUCGUUAAAUCAGAUUUAAGGGGUUAACUAAAGGAAAAAAUCUUUGCCUAACAAAAUCUUCUAUGAUGUUUAUUGAUGCCUUCUAGUGGUGUCUUCUUAUUAUCUUAUUACAUAUUUGUCACAUGACAUUACACAUGACACUUAUUAUUUGCUUAUUAGGAUUCAAUAACCAUAUAGUUUUCUCCUCUCAUCUAAU